AGUGAACGCUGGCGGUAGGCCUAACACAUGCAAGUCGAACGGCAGCACAGUAAGAGCUUGCUCUUACGGGUGGCGAGUGGCGGACGGGUGAGGAAUACAUCGGAAUCUACUUUUUCGUGGGGGAUAACGUAGGGACACUUACGCUAAUACCGCAUACGACCUACGGGUGAAAGCAGGGGAUCUUCGGCCCUUGCGCGAUUGAAUGAGCCGAUGUCGGAUUAGCUAGUUGGCGGGGUAAAGGCCCACCAAGGCGACGAUCCGGAGCUGGUCUGAGAGGAUGAUCAGGCACACUGGAACUGAGACAGGGGCCAGACUCCUACGGGAGGAAGCAGUGGGGAAUAUUGGACAAUGGGCGAAAGCCUGAUCCAGCCAUGCCGCGUGUGUGAAGAAGGCCUUCGGAUUGUAAAGCACUUUUGGUGGGGAGGAAGGGCAGCAAGUUAAUACCCUGCUGUUCUGACGGUACCAAAAGAAUAAGCACCGGCUAACUUCGUG
rnacentral:rRNA from 1 species